ACUUGAAAUACCAGUUGCGAGUUAGUUUGGGCGUAGCAGGCAAGGUCUGCACAGAUAUAGUUGGCACCCAGUGUUUUGUAUAUUGAAAACUUCACUUACUAAUUUCUCUUAUAGACCAGAUUGUCAUCGCUUCACUUCUGAGGUCUAAGAUACAAGUAGAUCAAAUACAGGAAAUAUUGACAUUUGCACGUAAUACCUCUGUCCGCCAAAGUUUGGGAAGAAGAGCAUAUGUGGAAGCAGAAACCAACUUUAAUUAUUUAAUGAACUGUAGGAUACAAAAUAAUGUAAUAUAUAUUAUAGAUUGUAAAGUAAACCAAAAAUGUAAUCUGUAAAAGUGGAGAAAAUAUAUAUAUUGUAAAGUGUU